AACGAACGCUGGCGGCAUGCCUAACACAUGCAAGUCGAACGAGACCUUUCGGGGUCUAGUGGCGCACGGGUGCGUAACGCGUGGGAAUCUGCCCUUGGGUUCGGAAUAACACAGAGAAAUUUGUGCUAAUACCGGAUGAUGUCUUCGGACCAAAGAUUUAUCGCCCAAGGAUGAGCCCGCGUAGGAUUAGGUAGUUGGUGGGGUAAUGGCCUACCAAGCCGACGAUCCUUAGCUGGUCNGAGAGGAUGAUCAGCCACAC
rnacentral:rRNA from 1 species